rnacentral:rRNA from 1 species
GACGAACGCUGGCGGCGUGCUUAACACAUGCAAGUCGAACGGUGAAGCGCCUUCCUUUUUGGUGGGUGUGGAUGAGUGGCGAACGGGUGAGUAACACGUGAGUAACCUGCCCCCUUCUUCUGGAUAACCGCAUGAAAGUGUGGCUAAUACGGGAUAUUCUGGGUCUGUCGCAUGAUGGGUCUGGGAAAGAUAUUGUUUCGGUGGGGGAUGGGCUCGCGGCCUAUCAGCUUGUUGGUGGGGUGAUGGCCUACCAAGGCGGUGACGGGUAGCCGGCCUGAGAGGGUGGACGGUCACACUGGGACUGAGGCACGGCCCAGACUCCUACGGGAGGCAGCAGUGGGGAAUAUUGCACAAUGGGCGCAAGCCUGAUGCAGCGACGCCGCGUGAGGGAUGGAGGCCUGCGGGUUGUGAACCUCUUUCGCCAGUGAAGCAGGCCUGCCUCGUUUGUGGGUGGGUUGACGGUAGCUGGAUAAGAAGCGCCGGCUAACUACGUG